CCGCCCAGGUGAAACCGUGUGCGGAAGGGAAGUGGGUGUAUCUCUUCCCUGCUGCAGGGGAAUGAUGCCUGGGAGCCCGGAGACUACCUGGGGCUCGGUGUUGCAGCUGUUGCCUUGAGGGGGUCGAUCGGGGGAAGCGGCGGCCGAGAGAGGCGAGCGGGGGCCACUCAGCUGGAAACGGAGCAGCUUUCCCUUGUCAGUCCGGAUCAAGCUCAGAGCCAGGAUUAAAGCAGCCGCGGCGGCGGCACGUGUGGCCGAGCGAGACCCACCAGCGCCCUGCAUAGCGCGCCGGGGAAGGGAGCGCACAGCCGCAAAGGAGACCCGCCAGACGCAGCGGGCCUGGGGGUGACCAUUGCACCGCUCCCCCGAUCCCCUCCAGCCCGGGGGGACCCCGGAGCAGAGAACCCCGGCGCCCGAGGCGUAGGGGUGGGGGGGAGACCCGGCCGGGCGGCCCCCUGACCUCUCCGGAUCCUGCAACCAGCUGUUGACGGACUUGCAAGCGCGGAGGGAGGGCGGCUGCCUGUGGACCCUGGGCCGCCGGCCGACAGCGGGGAGCGGGCGCUGAAGGACUGACGGGCUCCCUUCGCCCAGGCUUCUCCCUGAGCCGGAUCGGCCGCGGAGCCGGGGCCAGGAGGCGGCUGGGACAUCGCCCAGGCGGGGCGGGGCUGGUGACCUUGCUGGGAUGCCGGCGCCGGUGCCCCCUCCCUCCAGCCAGCCGCGUAGGGGGGCUCUCACGCCGGGGACACAAAGGCGAGGCGGCCGGGCAGCGACCGGGGCUGGGCAGGCGGAUUCUUAGCGCCCGAAGUGGGAUCCCCGGGGCAGGGGCGGGCGGGAGAGAGAGAAGCCAGCGCCCGGCUGGAUGCCCACACGCCCAGAGGGACUUGGGGCAGCGGGCUCGGUCCUCCUCCUUCCCCAGCACGGUUCUCCUUCCCCCGCUGGGAGCCGGGCGCCUGAUGUUCACCGACCUUCGAGCCAAGCUCAGCCCCCCGAGAGGCCGAGAUGGGGCUCUGAAAAUGAGCUACGGCGACCCGAAAGAGAUGGACGCUGCAGCCGCACACUUCAGCUUCUGCCGGAACCUCCUGGAGCACACAGUGUCGGCCGAAAACCUCAACUACCGUCUGCAGCGGAGCACGGGCAGCAGCCUCACCUGGCAUGACGGGCGGAGUCAGAGGUCAGCAGGAGGCAGGACUGUCAAGCUCCUACAGCAGCCGGGAACCGAAGGCUCACAGGGUCGUCCCUGUGAUCACUAUGGCAUUUACCAUACCAGCCCCACGCUAGGCAGCCUUACCAAGCCGGUGGUGUUAUGGACCCAACAGGAUGUGUGCAGAUGGCUAAAGAAACACUGUCCCCAUAACUAUCUCAUCUAUGUGGAGGCCUUUUCCCAUCACGCUAUCACAGGACGGGCACUGUUGCGGCUGAACGCAGAGAAGCUGCAGCGCAUGGGCAUUAUUCACGAGUCUCAGCGGCAGGAGGUCCUCCAGCAAGUCCUGCAACUCCAGGUGCAGGAGGAGGUCCGGAACCUACAGCUGCUCAGCCAAGACCCAAGCCACAGCCGGGGACCCUUCAUGGUGCCUUAGCCUGCUGUCCCAGGAUUUCUCAAGGCUCAAGCCCAAAAUGAGGACUGCAAGGGAAUAGAGGAGGAAACUUGGAACAAUACAGGACUGAAUUCUCUGACGCUGCUUCCUUUAGGGCCAUAUUCCCGACCUUCUUUUGGAAACGUCUUCUAACUGAGCCGUCUGUUCAGCAGAUUGUUCCAACACUGUGAACCGAGCACCUCUGGGAUGGACUGUGGACUACAGAUAUGAAAACCUGAAUCGCAUGCUUGGAAUAUAAAGAAACAGUUUCCAAACCACUCAUGGGUCUUCUCUCCCUCCCUCUCUGUCUCUCUCUCUCACUCUCUCUUUUAUUAAUAUUUUUCUGUGCAGAGAUCAGACAUUUUCUCCAGCAGACAUGGCUGACAAUUAGAGGCAAACUAGGAAAAUGGUCACCAGGACAUGUGACAUGCUCCCCUCUGGGAUCAGUCAAUCACAGGGGGAAAGACGUCAAGAUGAAUGUGGUAGCCGGAGACAGUUCAUUUUAAGGUCAUUCUUAGGACUAAUGACAUGGUCAUUCUUGGGACUAAUCAAAACCAUGCACCAUGAAACCACAUGUGCCCCAAUGACAUGCUUUAACCAGGAGGGCCUCUGGGUCCAGUGCAGGCUGCAGAUGUCCCCAGACUCCGCUAGUGUUAAUACCUCGGAGCUUACUGGGGAAGCUUUAGUUCUCUCUUCAGACUGGGCUGUCUUCCAGUGUCCUAGGAGAUAACGUUAGCAGCAGCAAAUAAGAUGACUGGACAAGCCAGAAAAACUAACAGCAGAGCCAAGCCCCCGGAGAUUGGCUUCGCUUUGUGAUUAAAACAAGAGCUGAGUCACUGAAGCCAGAACGCUUACCCAUAAAAGAGAAAAUGCAGAAUCCACACACUCAACGAGGUCACUGUGACCUCUGGGAAGCAACACCAGGAAAUGUUCAUUGGGCUGGCCUUGUCCUCAUUUAUGGGAAUAUGGAGGAACCAUGAUUAGUUGGUCUGCUUUGGCACCACCCACCUCUGUGACUGGUUUGUGCACUGCCGAUGCAAUCAGAGCUGAGGGAAAACAGGCAGUCCUCUUUGUAAAGCUCAGAAAUGUUGGCUGAGGGAAACUAUGCCGUGGCCAAAGGCCUUGCCCGACUGUUAGCCUACAAAACGGCAAGGUCCUAACAGUUCAUGAAGCUCACACUGGCUGUAUUUAUAAUGCUGUGGAGCCUCCGGGGUAGUUUGGUUCAACAGGAUGUGGUGGCGGGACUGGGCAGGAGACUGGCCUAAGGGCUGAGAAUCAAGGGUUCUUUGAUGCAAUAUUCCAUUGUUUUUGUGUCCUCUCAUACCCUUCAUUUACAGAACUCCUUAUAAAACCUCCAUGUUUGUUUAUAUUUUUUUCACCUGGUUCAUUUGCAUUUCGAGCUUUCGCCCAGGGUUCUGUUCUGAAUUCUGAUUCUCCACCGCACACAAUAAUCCAGGUCUGAAGCCUGAACUGCUGUCCAGGAGUAUCCUGGCAUUGCUGCUGCUUGCCCUGGCUCAUGAAAUGCAAAUGCCUUUCUGGCCUUCGUGACAUGAUUAAUACCAGCAACACUCCUUUACCAUCACAUCUGGCCCCCUCCUUGUACACCCCACCCUGAUAAGGCAGGCAUUGCUUCUGGAACAGUUGGCUGAUGUAUCACAUUUCACAAACUAGCAGGCAGGUAAGAAACUGUGAAACAACCCCUGGAAUUUUCAUCUGCAAUGUCUCUCUCUGGUAUGUCUCAGACUUUCCAUUCUUUUGUAACUUUCAGUAAAUAGGGCAAACCUAUGCACCCAGAAAGCAGUCAGAAGUGUCAUCAGCCCUAAGUAUCUGGGCUCAGGGCUUCUCCACCCACAUUUGCUGUACACCCUCAAAUUUCUCAGGCCAAAAACAAAAACCAAACAAGGCUCGUCUUAUCUGCCCAUUGUGUUAUCUAGAGCUGGGCAAAACUAUUUGCAGUGAACAAUUUAUCCUAUGAAUCUAGCUGUUUUUUCUGUUAACAGAGGAACAGGCUUUGCUUUUUUGUACGCAUUUGCCCAUUAUUUGAUAUUACUCAGCAGGUGGUUUUGUAAACAUUUCAGGUUACGCAGAGCAAGAACCAAUAGUUGGAAGCAGAAGGUAGAAAAAAUUCAAACUGGAAACAAGAUGAAAAAUGUUAAUAGCAAGGGUAAUUGACUUCUGAAACGGCUUACCAAGGGCUGUGGUAAGUUCUCUGUCUUUUGAAGUAUUUAAAUCAGAAUUGGAUGCCUUUCUAAACAAGAGGCUGUAGUUUAACCACAAGUUAUUAAACUAGAUGGGUGAAAAUUUGUGGUCUGUGUUAUGCAAGAGGGCAGACUGGAUGACUGUAGUACAAUAGCCUCUUCUAGUCUUCAAACAUAUGAAUCAGUCAGAAACAAUUACUUUGAGUAUUCACAUAGCAAGAUCUGUGUGAUUGGUCACUUAUUUGUCACAUGGUAUUCUUGCUGCAUCCUGAUUGGAUGAUUCAUGAGCAGGGAUCCUAGUUUUUGGUGAUUGAAAAACAAAACAAAAUUCUCUGAUCAAAAAAACCAUAAAAAUCCACAUUUUUCUGCCAUUAAAAUGAAAAGUUGAACUUUAGCUUCCCUAGCCACAAUAUAUAGAGCUAUCAGUUAAACACAAUAUUUUAUUGAUAUAUUUACAAUUUUUAAGCUGACAGGGCCGGGCCCUGCCCAUUCUCCUGAUUAUCUGAAUUUUUGAUUAUCCGAUCUGGCUCCUGUCCCAAUUAGAUGAGAUAAUCGGGGUUCCACUGUUUAUGUUUUUAUUUGUUCACAAAAUAUAAAAACUAAAGAUUCUCUGUAAAAAUGCAAAUUCCACGUUUUUCCAUGGCAGAUGGGUUUCUAGGAUCCCUGCUCA